rnacentral:rRNA from 1 species
GACGAACGCUGGCGGCGUGCUUAACACAUGCAAGUCGAGCGGUAAGGCCCUUUCGGGGGUACACGAGCGGCGAACGGGUGAGUAACACGUGGGUGACCUGCCUUUAGCUCUGGGAUAAGCCUGGGAAACUGGGUCUAAUACCGGAUACGACUCCGCGGUGCAUGCUGUGGGGUGGAAAGCCUUGUGCGGCUGGAGAUGGGCCCGCGGCCUAUCAGCUUGUUGGUGGGGUGAUGGCCUACCAAGGCGACGACGGGUAGCCGGCCUGAGAGGGCGACCGGCCACACUGGGACUGAGACACGGCCCAGACUCCUACGGGAGGCAGCAGUGGGGAAUCUUGCGCAAUGGGCGAAAGCCUGACGCAGCGACGCCGC